AGGCAGCAGUAAGGAAUAUUGGUCAAUGGACGCAAGUCUGAACCAGCCAUGCCGCGUGCAGGAUGACGGCCCUCUGGGUUGUAAACUGCUUUUAUCUGGGACGAAAAAAGGGCAUUCUUGCUCACUUGACGGUACCAGAGGAAUAAGCACCGGCUAACUCCGUGCCAGCAGCCGCGGUAAUACGGAGGGUGCAAGCGUUAUCCGGAUUUACUGGGUUUAAAGGGUGCGUAGGUGGGUAAGUAAGUCAGUGGUGAAAUCUUCAAGCUUAACUUGGAAACUGCCAUUGAUACUAUUUAUCUUGAAUACUCUGGAGGUAAGCGGAAUAUGUCAUGUAGCGGUGAAAUGCUUAGAUAUGACAUAGAACACCAAUUGCGAAGGCAGCUUACUACAUAGUUAUUGACACUGAGGCACGAAAGCGUGGGGAUCAAACAGGAUUAGAUACCCUGGUAG
rnacentral:rRNA from 1 species